ensembl:snRNA U2 U2 spliceosomal RNA
AUGGCUUCUCGGCCUUUUGGCUAAGAUCAAGUGAAGUAUCUGUUAAUACCUGAUAUGUCCUCUACCCGAGAACAAUAUAUUAUGGAUUUUUGGAGUAGGGAGAUGGAAUAGGAGCUUGCUCCAUCCACUCCUCGCAUCGACCUGGUAUUGCAGUACUUCCAGGAACGGUGCACCCCUC